rnacentral:lncRNA from 10 species
CUGCAGCUAUCAUUUUAAACUUUCUAAGGAAUUAUUUCCUGACUUCAUUAUGCGGCAGUAGAGACGCAGCUUCACCAUGUUGACCAGGCCAGCCUUGGACUCCUGACCUCACGUGAUCUGGCCACCUUGGCCUCCCAAAGUGCUGGGAUUACAGAUAUGCUUAAGGUGGGAAGAGAAGCUGGAAACCUAGAAUUAUUUCAACUCAAUCACCAGCCAUUCACUGACUUUUUACCAUGUAUAAAUCCUGAUCAACCUCAAAAAGAGUAAUAUUAAGUUUGAUUCUUACACUUUUUAAAAAAAAUAUAUCCAAGAUACAACUAUCAAAAGAUGGCCCAGAAUCAACUGCCAGAUUAACUAUAUGGCCCAUAGAUAAUGAUAGAGGAGGGAACUUAAAAAACUACUUUCUUGUGCAAAAAUUAUACCUGUCACAAAAUAAAGAUAAAGUGGAGCACUAGAA